rnacentral:lncRNA from 1 species
CUGACCUAAAGCCAUACCAUGCACCAGAUCGUUUCAGGCUUGCUGACUGAUGGACCCUGGGACGAGUCCAUCCUUAGGGGGGUGGAAUGAUGUAAACUAUAGCUAGUUAGUUAGUAAAAAUCCCUAACUAAUUAGAAAUACAGCUGUAACUAACUUCCUAAAACAGUCUUGUAACUAACUAAAUAAAACAACCUUGUAACUAAC